GUCCCAGUAGCUCAAUUGGAUAGAGCAUCCCCCUCCUAAGGGGAAGGUUGUGAGUUCGAGCCUCGCCUGGGACGCCA
rnacentral:tRNA from 2 species